ACUUUUCAGUAUCAAGUAUUUUUUAGUUUUAUUUCAUGCUUAAAGUGAACAUUAUAGAAUAGUGUUUUGUGUUUUAAAAAGAGUACAUACAGGUAGUUCUAUUUUUGUUGAAGUAUUUUCCCAUGAUGACUAACAAAGGAGGCUAUUUAAUUCAGCAUAACAUAUGCUACAGAGAUAGAAUUUUAUUGAGUCCCCACAUCAGUUUUAACUCGUUGCAUGUGACUUAAAGAUCAUGCUAAAUUUUAAGAUUAUACACAA
rnacentral:lncRNA from 1 species